rnacentral:misc_RNA from 1 species
GCUCCGUUGGUGAACCAGCGGAGGGAUCAUUACAGGACUCGCAAGACUCCUACAACCCUGUGAACUUAACUAUAAGCACGUUGCUUCGGCGGGUGUCUCGGAGGGGGUUCUCCCUCCCCGAGACGCUAAACCCGCCGGCAGCCUACUAUACUCUGUCUCUUUGCGUUGGCAUCUCGAGUACAAUCAAGCAAGUUAAAACUUUCAACAACGGAUCUCUUGGUUCUG